rnacentral:rRNA from 1 species
AUUGAACGCUGGCGGCAGGCCUAACACAUGCAAGUCGAACGGUAACAGGAAGAAGCUUGCUUCUUUGCUGACGAGUGGCGGACGGGUGAGUAAUGUCUGGGAAACUGCCUGAUGGAGGGAGAUAACUACUGGAAACGGUAGCUAAUACCGCAUAACGUCGCAAAACCAAAGAGGGGGACCUUCGGGCCUCUUGCCAUCGGAUGUGCCCAGAUGGGAUUAGCUAGUAGGUGGGGUAACGGCUCACCUAGGCGACGAUCCCUAGCUGGUCUGAGAGGAUGACCAGCCACACUGGAACUGAGACACGGUCCAGACUCCUACGGGAGGCAGCAGUGGGGAAUAUUGCACAAUGGGCGCAAGCCUGAUGCAGCCAUGCCGCGUGUAUGAAGAAGGCCUUCGGGUUGUAAAGUACUUUCAGCGGGGAGGAAGGGAGUAAAGUUAAUACCUUUGCUAAUUGACGUUACCCGCAGAAGAAGCACCGGCUAACUCCGUG